rnacentral:misc_RNA from 1 species
AAAGAUCUGGAUGAUAGUGAAAGGAACAUUUUCAAGCAAAUAAUUCAAGACAUGGCGGCUAGCAGCCUUCGUUGCAUUGCAUUUGCUCAUAAACAAAUAUCACAAAACCAUUGUGAAAAUGGAAUACAAGAGAGCAAGCUUAUAGAAGACAACUUGACCCUCCUAGGACUGGUAGGUAUAAAGGACCCAUGUAGACCUGGCGUGAAGAAAGCUAUUGAAGAUUGUCGACAUGCUGGAGUGAACAUCAAAAUGAUCACAGGUGACAAUGUUUUCACUGCAAGAGCUAUAGCCAUUGAAUGUGGGAUACUCAAGCCUGAUCAAGAUAUGUUCAGUGGAGCAGUAGUAGAUGGGGAAGAAUUUCGAAACUAUACACCUGAUGAAAGAAUGGAGAAAGUUGAUAACAUAUGCGUGAUAGC